rnacentral:rRNA from 1 species
GAUGAACGCUGGCGGCGUGCCUAACACAUGCAAGUCGAACGGUGACACGCUAAGCUUUUUCUUGUGUGGGUAGCGGGGGCCGGCGGGGUAAUAACUCGAUAGUAACCUGCUCUCUCGUGGUGGAUAACGGCAUGAAAGUGACGCUAAUACGGGAUAUUCUGUGCCGGUUGAAUGAUGGGGGCAGGAAAGAUUUUGUGUCUGUGUGGGAUGGGCUCGCGGCCUAUUAGCUAGUUGGUGGGGUGACGGCCUACCAAGGCGACGGUGCGUAGCCGGCCUGAGGGGAGGAUCGGCCACCCUGGAACUGCGACACGGCCCAGACGCCUACUGGAGGCAGCAGUGGGGAAUAUUCGACAAUGGGCGACAGCCUGAUGGAGCAACGCCGCGUGGGUGAGGAAGGACUUCGGAUCGUAAAGCUCUUUUUUUGGGAAAGAACAAGUGCUGCCUAAUUUAUGGGUGUCUUGACGGUACCUAAACAAUAAGCCCCGGCUAACUACGUG